rnacentral:tRNA from 1 species
GCGUGUCGCUUCGUUGGUAGAGCGUCAGCCUUCCAAGCUGAAUGUCGCCGGUUCGAACCCGGUCGCCCGCU